UUUAGGGCCGCACCCUUGGCACAUGGAAGUUCCCAGGCUAGGGGUUGAAUUGGAGCUACAGCUGCUGGCUUACACCACAGCCACAGCAAGGCAGGAUCUGAGCCACAUCUGUGACCUACACCACCGUUCACGGCAAUGCUGUAUCUUUACCCCACUGAACAAGUCCAGGGAUUGAACCAGAAUCCUCAUAGAUACUUGUCAGAUUGGUUUCCACUGCAAUUUAUUAUUUCUAUAUUUAUGUUCAUUUGAAAAGCUCACAGAAUUAAGAAAAGGCUGAGAACCAAGCUCAAAAAGACUGGGAAUUUGAGUGAAACUAUGAUCUAGGCACCAGAACUUGGGGACACUAGCAUUGGGGGAUAUCAUUUCUCUCUUUUUUAUCUGUUCUCUAUGACACCUGUAAAGAUCCAAAUUUCCUUGAAUAGUCUGAUCAAUCAGGUUUUCUUAGGAGUAGAUAGACACUUUGAUUCGUCCUAUCUUGUCUUCAUCAGAUGGGACUGGAGGGGGGGGUCCAAACCAAAUGGCUAACUCAUUUGAGAGACUACUGCCCAGUACAGACACAUUCAGUCAGCAGCUGCAUCAGUUAAAAGUAUUUGACUUCUGCAUUUUUGGAAAGAAGUUGAAGAUUUCUUUUUCUAAGUGAGCAGCAAGCCAUGAAAACAGCCUGGCUUAUUUGGCAGCAAAGUCACAUCCCUAGAGUUGUGUCCAUGGGAAACCUCUGUAAUGAUUUUUUUUUUUUUUUUUUUUUUUGGCAUUUCACCGAACUGCGCAGGACAAGAGUUUCGUCAAAUCAAUACUCAAACACAUUCAACAUCCAGCUAGUUGACAAACUGAAUAACUCAUGAAAAAGUUGUAAAAUGUGUGCUUCCAAUUUGGUACAGCUUUAAAGAAUUAGGCAGUCGUUUUUGUUCGUGUUUGCUCUUUUCGAAAAAUCGUCAGUUGUUUUGUCAGAGAAGCUCAGUAAUUGGAUUGUUUUGUGUUAAUAUUUAUUGAGCGCUGUGGUGAAAUUGGUCAUUAUUUUUGACUGUUCAGCAUCUGGCACUUGUUUCCAUGUUUGGAAAACUCCUUACUCUAGGAAGCAAGGUGGGCAUCACAGCCUUCCUCCCAUUUACGGAAGCUGAAAAUGUUGGCUCCUUGCUUUCCCCACAGUUUUAUGGUAUGAUGGACAUCUGGCUUACAGUCUGCCUGUUGGUUGUGGCUGCCCCAGACUUGGACUCGAACUAAUGAAGCUGGGUACCCAGCAAACUGUUGGAAGCACAGGGUUUUUGACGUAUUGAUAGGAUUCCUGCGGCAGGAGUGCUGGCACCCAGUGUGCACUGUUGCUACAGUCCCUAAGCAUUAGGUCUGUUCAUUGUGCCAGCUGCCAUGUCCAAUGCUUGGGAACAGUAGUCCUGACAGUGUCCUCGCAUCACUUAACUUGUGACUUAAUCUGAGUAAUAGACUUGGCCCUAAGCCUCUACAGGUUUUGAAUUUUACCAGUAAUUCUCUGAGUUAACUGAAAGCCUUUUCUCUAUUCUUCGUGUGCUUAAAUCAACCAGAGUUGGUUUCUGUGGCUUGCAGCUAAGAAUCCUGGCUGACACAAGGCAUUUCUAUUUGUUUUUGGAUACUUAGUCUUUACCAUACUUUAGUGAUUUUGUGCAUUCAUUUACUCAUGAAUCAGUGGGUUAUUUUAUUUAUUUGUUCAGAAUGUAUUUGCUGAAAGGCUAGUCUUUUCCAGACAUUGUCCUUAGGACUGGGCUUGUGUGUUUAGGGAGAUAGGAGAUGUUACUGUCCUCAAGAAACUUCACUGUUGUGGGAGGAGACUGCUAUUAAACAAGUAAACCUACUAGAUAGUAUCAGCCAGGGAUAAAUGCUAUGGGAGAAACUUAAAAGAAUAAUGAAUUAGAGAGUGAUGAGCGUGGGAAAGCCAUUCUGAGGAGUCCUGUUUGCUUUAAACAUUCAAAAGGAGGCAGCCAUGAAAGGAUCAUUGCAGGCAGGGGAACAGCAGGUGUAAACUAGCUUAGCACUAGGAGAAGAGAGAGGUCCAUGGGUCCAACCCCUUGCCCAAGGCAACCUCUGAGAAGUGCCAGAGCCAGGGUUUGAAUCCAGAAAAUGUCUUAUAAAGUCUAUUUUCCCCAAAGCUAUACAGGCAUAUGUUGUUUUAUUGUGCUGUGCUUUUUGUGUUUUGCAAAUACUGCCUUUUUUUUACACAUUGAAGGUUUUUGGCGACCCUACGUCUAGCAAGUCUGGCAGUGCCAUUUUUCCAAUGGCAUUUGCUUACAUUGUGUCUCCGUAUCACACUUUGGUAAUCCUCACACUAUUUCAAGCUUUUUCACUGUUAUUGUGUGUGUUAUGUGAUCGGUGAUCAGUGGACUUGCUUUAUUGCAAUAUUUCCUUGAAUUAAAAACAUAGUCUCUCUGGGGUAUGGCUGUAAUUUGGAAAAUAAACAAACAGAACCAGGGAAGCAAAAAGUUAAACUAAUGUACACUAAAAGAGGCAGAGGGAUACUUGAUGGAGAAGAGCCUGGUUUUCUAAUAGAAGAGGAGAAAGAAAGGAAAAGGAAAGACCAGAAAGGGAUGAGUUUUGGAGAAAGGACUUGGAGGAGCCUGGAGCACUGGAAAUGAGAUAUUUGCAAUGGUUGCCAUGCUGGGAUGAGCAGCCUUGGGGAAGAUGAACAUACAGGGCCCUGGGGAUCAAUUUGAUAGCAGAGAUGCAGUUUCUGCCCUCAUGGAGCUUACAAUUUAGUGUGGAAGAUGGACAUGAAGUUGAUAAGCAACCAACGAUGAUAUAAUUACAAAUGUGAUAUGGACACUGUGCAAGGUAUUAUUACUACGGGAGUAAGAUCUGUCUGGGUGUGGGGGUGAUCAGAGAAGGGGUCCCCAAGGAAGUGUCAUUUAACUGCUGAGAACAGAGAGAGGAGAUGAGAAGGAUGCUAGCUGAGGUUUACAAGUUUCUAACUUAGCCUUGAUCCCGUAGCACAUUCACGGCCAAGUGUUCCUGUACUCCAGCUCCAGCGUUCUUUCUCUGGACCACAGUGAUAGGAACUGCCUUCACUCACACACAGACACACAGGUCUGCAUAUUCAGACACUCAAGGGCUGCAUUCUUUGUUGCCUCCUUGGCCAGUAGGAGGCUUUCUGCAGGGGAAGCAGUGAUUGCUAAUGACAUCCUUGGUGCCUGUGAUACUUAGAUCACUUUAUCAAUCAAAUAUGGCAUUUGGUGGCAGCCCUGCCACCUGUCUCUUUCUAUCAGUGUCACAGAGUAUUUCACUGCAGGCCACAGGUGCCAGCUGUCAGCCUGAAAUAAACUGGGGUCUGCCCCAGGAUAAGUACAUUUAGGGAAUUGCUUCAGAAUGUGUUUUUCAUCUGACAGCCCCUUCUGAGUUUGGGACUCCAAAAGGGAAAAAUAAACAAAUUAUGGAUGAGUCAACAAACAUGGGGCUGUUUAUGAGAUGUCUGCCUUGCUGUUCCUGGCGCUUCAUUAAUCACUCUGCCUUUUCUUUCUCCUAUUGGUCUGGGUAUCAUGUAUGGUCUAUUUGAAAUAUACGUGAAUUUAAUAGGUGUUUCCUUAAUUGGGCCACUAAGUAAAUUGCAAAUGCUAUGCCAGUGAUUUUUCUCUUAAGGUGGUAGCUGUUCCUGGCAGGGAAUACUUUGAUUCCAGAGUUUAAGGAAGAAGGGAGAGGGGAAGGAAAUUCAUCUUAUGGUUUCUGAACCCCCACAAGGCCAGGGAAUAUAUCAGGUACAUGACACAUUCAUGUACUAUUUCAUCUAGUCCCACCAAUAUACCUGUGAAGUCGAUAUUGCUAUUUCCCCUUUAACAGAUGAGACGGCUGUCACGCUGAGGGUUUAAAUAAUUUGUCUAAGGGACCAACUAGUAAGAGUCAACACUGGAGUUUAAACAUCAAAUCCUAUUACUUUCUCCUCUUAGUCACUAGACCCCAACACCCUUAUUAUCUGCCUUGUAGUCAGCUUCACCAUUGUCACCAGAGCUGAAGCUGCCCUGUUGGAGGACCAAACAAGGACAAUGGGGGGGUCACAUUUAGUAGAGACAGAAAUACCUCAUGCCCCCAAACAGCAGAGUGUUUCAAAGCGAUUUACAUCUUUAUUUCGGGUCUUGAAACUUGCCUAAUAAGGAAUACAAAGCAUGCUGUGUAACAGUGGAUCUAAAGAGAUACGUUUUUCAGUCAUCUUCCCAGAGUUUGCUCAUCUCCAGAAGUCUCAGCUUAAGUGCCUCAUAGUCCCCAAAGGUCUGUCUCCAAAAUCAUCUCUUUCUGGACUCUCCUUUACUUUUUGUCUCCUCUUCUUUUACACAUCCAGUUUUUUCUCCAUCAAGUCGCCCCCCGCCACCUAUUUUAGCUUAAAUCCAUUUAGCCUUUUUACUUCCCCAGUGCUGUUUCUUUACCUUCCAAAUUACAGUUGUUGAGAAAGCGACCUUGUUAACAGAUUCCCUGGACUCAAACCUUGGCUUCAGCCUUUCCUGAGUGGCUAUUCUUCAGCAAAUGAGUUUAUCAGGCUGAGUCUCAGUUUCCUCUUUGGUAAAGAAAGCAUAAUAAUGUCUGCAUUAUUGGACUGACCUGAAGGUUAAAUAAGUUUAUGCAUACAAACCACUUAGAAUAGUACCUGAUACAGCAAGCACUAAAGAAAUUAACCAGUGUUAAUUUACUUCUUAUUGCUUUUCUUGGUAAGUUCAUGAGGAGCCAAGUAUAGGCACCCAAGCAGGUGCAUUGUCCUUACACGGAGGACGGAGGGGAAAUUUUUAAUAGUCUCAUGUAAUUUGGGGGGCUGCUAUCACACUUAUAUUACCAUGAAUAAUCAUUGAUAUUAUUUAAGUCAAUGCAAUUGUAGUUAUAUUGUCAUUAAUAGUUGUUAAUAAUUUUAAGUCAACAAUAUUAGUAUAAUAUUAAGAUAUUCCUGAAUGCCCCUGUGUCCAGGCUCUCAAACAUUACUUAAAUUAUCUAAUCCUUACAACAACUCUUGGAGAUAUUAUCAUUAGCCCCUUUGAUUGACUGAAAAAGUCAGACUAGUAGAGGUGAAGUAGCUUUGUUCAAGACAGUGUUUUCUCAAUCUUUUUUUAAGUUCCAACACAGUUAUAAAUGAAAAUAUUGUGCCUUGGGUUAAACUGUAGUAGAGGUAAAAUGUCAUAAGGGCUGGGAAGUUACUCGUAAUCCAUUAUCAACAAAAUGGUUAGAAUGCUCUGGUCUAAGGGACAGUCAGGGCAGGGACUCAAUCCACGCUGUUGGUAGAGUUGCUGCUAUUGGACCACAUCUCACAGGUUCUUGGGGAAAUGAUUUUACCAGGCUGAAGUGUGUGUAUGUCUAUAUAUAUGUGUGUGUGUGUGUGUGUGUGUGUGUUGACAUAUCUAUGUAUGUAUAUACACAUAGAUAUAGAUAUAUAAAAAAAGAUUGCAGAAUGACAUAAAGUAGACAGAAAUUGGAGGGGAGUUGACACUUGAAAGAAGGGAAUGGCACUCAGUGGGUUUUCUGUUCACUUUUUUUUUUUUUUAAUACUAUGUGAACUAAAACCUGCAUUCGUAUUGGCAUGAAGAAUUGGAAAGAAAAAAUGGGGGGCUCCUUGAGAAGCUGGAAAGUGAAGGUGGAAAAUUCUAGAAAGGAGAACACUCUAAAGGCAAUUCUUUAUAUAAAUUCUGCCCUAAUUCAUCAUAGAAACUCUGCCCAAACUGCUAAAUGACCACUGAACUCUACAGGUCUGAAAACUAAAAGAAUUAACUGAGAUUUUAGCCAAUGCCCACUGCAGUGGAGGCAGACUUUGGAUUUUGAGUUAAGUUGAGUCAAGUGACUGCUAAAAUAAGCAAAUGACAGUAACAAACAGACCUUUUCAGAGGAACAUAACAGAGCACAGACACAAACUAUUUUGUACAAUAUCCAGGAUACUCUCCAAAAUUACUAGAUAAAAACAUAUAAAUAAAUAAGAAAAUGUGAACACACACAGGGCAAUAAACAGAGGUAGCCCCAUUAGCAGAUGAGGGUUUCAAAACAAGUAUUAUAAUUAUAUUCAAAAUCUGCUCAUAAGGAAUAAACACAGUCUGUGUUCUUUAUCAUCAUGUUACACCUUCCAGAUUUUUCUUAGUAUACUGUUUCCCACAUAACAGAUUUGACAAAUAAAGGACAGAGAAGCCCCUUGCCUAAAUUCUUCACCAAGCUAUGAUAGAGUUAAGACCAGAGUACAGGUGACCAUACUUUCUUAGAAGAAUUUUCCAUAUAAGGAGUUCCCGUCAUGGCUCAGCAGAACUGACUAGCAUCCGUGAGGACUCAGGUUCUACCCCUGGCCUUGCCCACUGGGUUAAGGAUUAUGGCAUUGCUGUGAGCUGUGGUGUAGGUUGCAGACAGACAUGGCUCAAAUCUGGCGUUGCUGUAGCUGUGGCAUAGGCCAGCAUCCACAGCCCUGAUCCGGCGCUUAGCCUGGGAGCCUACAUGUUCCGUAGGUACACCUCUAAAAAGAC
rnacentral:lncRNA from 1 species